rnacentral:lncRNA from 1 species
AUGAACUAUAUUCAACAGAAGGGUCAUUGCGAAAGAUUGAGGACCAGAAGAUACUUUGAAAGCUGGCUCAGAACCGAGAAAAGGCUACGAAAAGCUGAUUAACGAAGAAAGUUUUAUUCUUGCUUUCAUACAACACUUUGUUUUAUGUUUUGCAUCAUUUUGUUUAAUGGUUUGCUUAAACAAAUUGCGAUAAUGAUGCAGACAUAUGUACAAUAGCUGGAAAAUAGUCGACUC